GACGAACGCUGGCGGCGUGCUUAACACAUGCAAGUCGAACGGAAAGGCCCUGCUUUUGUGGGGUGCUCGAGUGGCGAACGGGUGAGUAACACGUGAGUAACCUGCCCUUGACUUUGGGAUAACAUCAGGAAACUGGGGCUAAUACCGGAUAGGAGCUCCUGCUGCAUGGUGGGGGUUGGAAAGUUUCGGCGGUGGGGGAUGGACUCGCGGCUUAUCGGCUUGUUGGUGGGGUAGUUGCUUACCAAGCCUUUGAAGGGUAGCCGGCAUGAGAGGGUAACCAGCCACCUUGGGCCUGAGAUACGGACCAGAAGCGUACGGGAGGCAGCAGUGGGGAGUAUUGCACAAUGGGGGGAAGCGUGAUGCAGAAACGCCGCGUGCGGGAUGACGGCCUACGGGUUGUAAACCGCUUUCGCCUGUGACGAAGCGUUAGUGAUGGUAAUGGGUAAAGAAGCACCGGCUAACUACGUG
rnacentral:rRNA from 1 species